CAAUCAGUGUAGAUAAGGACAAAAGGUACAGAUGUUCGGCUUAUAGAGAAGAGUGCCACGGCUGAAAGCAUUCUAGUACGAUAUGUAUCUUACCCCCUUUGAACUUCAACAGUGAACGUUUUGUAGUAGCUGUUGACGGUAGCAGAUCCGUUAUUUCUGACCGAGUGCUGUCCCUUUAUGAAGAGGCAGAACAAGGGUGGAACCGCGAGUAAACACUCGUCCCUUUU
rnacentral:ncRNA from 1 species